rnacentral:rRNA from 1 species
AUGGGUUUGUGUUCCCGCGGUCGAGGGAGGCGGCGGGGUGGCGUUCCCGUGGUCGAGGGAGGCGGCGGGAUGGCGUUGCCGCGGUCGAGGGAGGCGGCAGGGUGGCGUUCCCGCGGGUCGAGGGAUGCGUCGGGGUGGCGUUCCCGCGGGCAGAGGGAGUUGGCGCGGUGGUUUUCCUUGGCCGCCAGGGGAUUUAGGUACUUGACUAAUCGAGAUGUUGUUGAUAGUUUACAAAAUGUUGCAGGUAACUCUGGUGAGAAUGAGGGGAGUAAGAAGGCUAAGAAGAAGAUUAAGAAGAAAGGCAAUCUAUGUGGCUUUAAGUCAAGGUUUAACUCAAAAAGGCUGGCUCAGAUUGGGAAGCAAAUAUCACCGGAAAAACAGAGAAUCAUAAGGGAGGGACCGUUUGGAGACUUGUUGGACAUCCGGUCUUUCAAGGUGCCCCAUGAGCUCAUUGAGUUUGUUGCGAUGAACACGAAUCACGUACUCUCUGAGUUCAAACACAAGAACAAAUCUAUCACCUUCAGCAAGCUUAUGGUGAAAAGGAUUUUCAACGUGCCAUCCGGUGAUAGACCCGUGAAGCUUCUAAAGAAGAGUGAUGAACAUGAUCUUUGCAGCAUCUACAAGGAGGGGAACAGGGCUCCAAUCGCCCAUGUUGUCAAGUUGCUCACUAUUUUGUGCCCAGGCACGGGCAAUAUGGUGAAUCUCGAGUAUCUUGAUUCCCUCGAAGAUAUGUCUUUGGUGCAUGAAUUCGCUUGGGAUGAGCACUUGUUGGCACGAGCUAUGGAGGAGGUUGGAGUCUUUCAAGAGAAGAAGAGGAUGCAAGCAAACGCAGAAAAAGAGUUUCAGAUUGCUUCAUGCCUUCCCAUGUUAGCGAUCAUAUACAUGGAUCAUGUUGAUAUCCCGGCUGGCCUCCCAAAUGAGCAUGCUAUUGAUUAUUCCGUGCCAAGGAUACAUUUUGUUUGCCAAAAGGAUUUUGAGUGGUUGGAUAAAGUUGACAAAAACAAGCUCACUCUUGUCCAACCUUUCUACGGGAAACACAUCCAUUUUGUGCAACACCCCCCUAUGCAGCACAACUUGUGGGACAGGAAGUUGGUGCUGAAGCAGCUAGUGGGAAGGGAGUUGAUGCUGAAGCACCUAGUGGCCAAGGAACUAGUGGCCAAGGCAGCCAAAUUUAAGGUACCAACUCAGUUUCAAAUGCUUUACGACAAGCACAAGGGUAUUUUUGCAUCGGAGGUGGAUGAUGUUGUUGGCAAGUUUGGACAGUGUUUAAAGGGAUUGCAGUGCAACCGGAUGGCAGCCCUCCUUCGUGAUGUUGGAGAUGCCAUCACAGCUACCAGUGAGCCCAACUUCUCCUUUGAAGCACCUAUCAUGGACGAAUGUCGCGGAAAAGAGAAUGAUGCUAAAGCUGCAAAUGCUGGCAUUGGUGCUCAAGCUCAAGCUGAAGGUACAACACCUAACAUUAACAAGGAUGAAGUCACCGAAUUGAAGCAACAAGUUGGAACCGAGGCUGCUGAAACUCCUGAGCAACAACGAGUGAGUUUCGAGAUGGAAGGCAACGUCUCACCUCACAGCCCCCCACUCUUCUAUGAUGCACCCAGGAGUGCGACAGCCGGCAUUUGGGACGAGGAGCCAUCCUGUGAGUUGUUCCCAAAGGGCUCCGAAGAGUACGAGAUGAUGCAUUGCACGGAUGAGCCUAUAACCAAGAAGAGCGCAGUCAACCCCAUAUUUGAAAACAUCCCCGUGUUCCCUGUUUCAGACGAUGAUGGCAGCCCAACCCCUAAGAUGGUCGCUACAGAAGAGCAAUUUGUUGAUGCAAGCAGUGGCCCUAGCACACAUGACAAGAACACUAGGAAGAAGAGGAUGGCCAAAGUUCCAGCCGUAAAAAAUACCAAGGCAAAGAAGCAAAAGGUCGAUGCAGCUGUAGCCACAUAUGAGAAGUAUGUAAAGCAUGGGAAACCAUUGAGGAGAUCACAUGCCAAUGAACAAGUGACACCUUUCAUAAAGAUAGGUGGAUUUUACAUUGGAUACAAGAAAUUCCUGGUAUGCUUCAAGCCUCGCGGGGAUAUGAAUGAUGAGGUUAUGUCCCUAUGUAUCGAGAUGAACAACGUAGCAUCCCGUGCAGCAAGUGGUACUAAUCUGAAGAAAUACAUGUUCUCAGUCCACGCGGGGAUCUUACUAAAACAAGACCCAACAACCUUCCAACCAGCAAAACUCAUACCCGAGCUUGAAAGGGCUGUGACAAAGUUCAAGGCGAAUAAAUAUGACCUCCUUUUUGUCACAAUUGUUCAUGAAAAGCAUUGGAUAAUUGUUUGCGCAAACUUGCUAUACAAGCAGUGGAAUGUAUUUGACUCAAUCCAUUCAAAAGGGAAACAAUCUCCUUUGAAGAAGCGGGCCAAUAACCUGAUCACAAACUUUGCAGCCCUCGCACAAGAGUACAGCCAAUUCAAUGUCAAUGUUGGAUCAUUCGCCCGUGUUGACCUAGAGGAUUACCCAAAGCAAGAUAAUCUAUGUGAUUGUGGCUUUCUCGGGCUCAAAUAUGUGGAGAACUUUGAUGGGAAGUCAAUGAAAGAGUUCAAUCAGGAAGAUGUGGCGCGAUACCGCAUGGAUGUGGCGCACAACCUUUGCACUCACCCAAUGAACAAUGCCCCAAUGGAGCGGGCAUUCAUGGAAGAGUUGGCGGCUUAA